AAAAUGACUCACAUCCAUCUAUACCUCCAGUUGUAGGGUUUCAGAUGCUCUCUUUUGGUCUCUCCAGGACUGAGGAAACCACUUGGCUCACAUAUACAUAUGCAAAUGGAUGGAGUUUGAAGAAAUCUUUCUGAAUGAGGUAACCCAGAUCCAAAAAGAUAAAUAUGAGCCAUCUGGAGGUAUAAAAUCUAGCCAGCAAGGAGGCAGCUUCUAUUUCAAUUCCAGCCUUCAUUUUGUCUUCCAGUCAAGCAGUGUAAUAUCAUCGACAGUAGGAUCUGAACUUGAAUCCCCACAAUGCCUAUGUGGACCCUUCAGUGAUUAUUACUUUUCUGGUUCUUUGAACACAUGAUAUGUCUUUCUGAAUACACAUAAACUUCAUUGUUCAAAUUGCCAAUGUAGUGAAUAAAUAAAAUCUAUUGACACUCCUACAUUAAUAAAGCCAU